rnacentral:rRNA from 1 species
CUACGGGCGGCAGCAGUGGGGAAUAUUGGACAAUGGGGGAAACCCUAAUCCAGCAAUGCCGCGUGUGUGAAGAAGGCCUGCGGGUUGUAAAGCACUUUCGGUUGGGAGGACUGCUUCUAGCACUAAUAUUGUUGGAAGUUGACGUUACCUUCAGAAGAAGCACCGGCUAACUCCGUGCCAGCAGCCGCGGUAAUACGGAGGGUGCAAGCGUGUAAUCGGAAUUACUGGGCGUAAAGCGCGCGUAGGCGGCUAGAUCAGUCGGGUGUGAAAGCCCCGGGCUUAACCUGGGAACUGCAUCCGAUACUGUCUAGCUUGAGUACAGGAGAGGAGAGUGGAAUUCCACAUGUAGCGGUGAAAUGCGUAGAUAUGUGGAGGAACACCAAUGGCGAAGGCAGCUCUCUGGCCUGAUACUGACGCUGAGGUGCGAAAGCGUGGGGAGCGAACGGGAUUAGAUACCCGAGUAGUC